GAUUUUCGCAAUGCCCGAAAGGGUCUGACCUAUCCCUGGAGGAAGCACGGGCUAAGUUCGUGCCAGCAGCCGCGGUAAGACGAACCGCGCGAACGUUGUUCGGAAUCACUGGGCUUAAAGGGCGCGUAGGCGGGCCGCAAAGUCAGGGGUGAAAUCCUCCAGCUCAACUGGAGAACUGCCUUUGAUACUGGCGGCCUGGAGUAAGGUAGGGGCAUGCGGAACUGAUGGUGGAGCGGUGAAAUGUGUUGAUAUCAUCAGGAACUCCGGUGGCGAAAGCGGCGUGCUGGACCUUUACUGACGCUGAGGCGCGAAAGCCAGGGGAGCAAACGGGAUUAGAUACCCCGGUAGUCCUGGCCCUAAACGAGGGGCACUAAGUAGAGGGGUUUU
rnacentral:rRNA from 1 species